AACGAACGCUGGCGGCAUGCCUAACACAUGCAAGUCGAACGAGACCUUCGGGUCUAGUGGCGCACGGGUGCGUAACGCGUGGGAACCUGCCCUUAGGUUCGGAAUAACUCCCCGAAAGGGGUGCUAAUACCGGAUAAUGUCUUCGGACCAAAGAUUUAUCGCCUUUGGAUGGGCCCGCGUUGGAUUAGCUGGUUGGUAGGGUAAAAGCCUACCAAGGCGACGAUCCAUAGCUGGUCUGAGAGGAGGAUCAGCCACACUGGGACUGCGACACGGCCCAGCCUCCUACGGGAGGCAGCAGUGGGGAAUAUUGGACAAUGGGCGAAAGCCUGAUCCAGCAAUGCCGCGUGAGUGAUGAAGGGCUUAGGGUUGUAAAGCUCUUUUACCCGGGAUGAUAAUGACAGUACCGGGAGAAUAAGCUCCGGCUAACUCCGUG
rnacentral:rRNA from 1 species